GACGAACGCUGGCGGCGUGCUUAACACAUGCAAGUCGAACGGAAAGGCCCUGCUUUUGUGGGGUGCUCGAGUGGCGAACGGGUGAGUAACACGUGAGUAACCUGCCCUUGACUUUGGGAUAACUUCAGGAAACUGGGGCUAAUACCGGAUAGGAGCUCCUGCUGCAUGGUGGGGGUUGGAAAGUUUCGGCGGUUGGGGAUGGACUCGCGGCUUAUCAGCUUGUUGGUGGGGUAGUGGCUUACCAAGGCUUUGACGGGUAGCCGGCCUGAGAGGGUGACCGGCCACAUGGGGCCGGGGUUCCGCCCCGGACCCCACGGGGGGGCAGCGUGGGGAAUUAUGCACCAUGGGCCGGAGCCUGGUGCCGCCAACCCGGGUGGCGGAAGGCGGCCUUCGGGUUGUAAACCCGCUUCCCCUGUGGCCGAGGCGGGAUGACGGUAAUUGGUAAAGGAGCAACGGCCAACUACCUG
rnacentral:rRNA from 1 species